AGUCUCGAGAUUGCCUGACCAUGACACACUCCAUCAGAACUCAUCCCCACUGUUAAGCAAAGCAUGACUAUACCGCCUUGGAUUCUCCACGGUCCCAGACCUGAACUGUUUAGAUGACUGCACACGCAGAGGGCACCGUGUCUGAGGCAGAGAGCAGCUGGAAUCACAAAAGCUCUCGACAGAGAGUCAAGGAAAGGCGUGCUCUGCUUACACGACUCUCUACUUUUCUCUGGGUCUGAACCAUUUCCUAGCUAAUCUGCUUUUCUUAACCGAGCAGCUUUGCCAAAAAAAAAAAAAAAAAGAAAAAACACAAAGUUACCAACAAACACUAAACAAACCAAUAUAAACAAUACAUAUUAAAUAAGCCUAACCCUCCUAUGCUACUGAAAAGGCUUUUAUUUCCCUGGGAUAAUUUGGACAGCAUUAGAUUGUUUUACCAAGAGCAGCCAAGUCGAGGCAGAUUAUUUCUAAUUCCACAGUGCUGCAGAUGCGGUCAGUAGCAACUGCAAGCCGGAAAGGAAACAAAACAAAACAAAGUUGGGUGUAAUCCAUUCAAGUUCACACGUUUCACCAGGGACAGCCUCCAAGCCUUGAAUAGUUAGGUAUGCAUUUAGCCAUUUCUUGAAUCAACCACUACUAACGCCUGCUAAAGGCCAGACACUGCUCUAAGUACUUUACGGAUAUGAAAUAUCCUCUCACCUUUACACUCACCUAUGGAGUGUGUAUGAUAAUCAUCCCCGUUUUACAGAUCAGGAAACUGACACACAGAAUGGUACAGUAACUUGCCCGAGUUCACACAGCCCGUAGGUGGCAGAGCCAGGACCCAUGUGACAGAGUCUGGCUCCAGAGGCCACGUUCUGAAUCACCACGCUUAGUCCCCAAAAACCUAGAGAAAGCGCCAGCCUCAAUCGAAAGGUUUUCUUUUCCCCACCCUACAGUCCCUACGCGGCGGCCCCAGUCUCCAGGGCAUGCUUUCAGCUCCUCUGACAGGCCCUACUCCUCUCCCUUGCCCUGUCCCAACACUCUCCCGCCCAGGUCCUCCUUUUCUUUUAGGCAUCUGCUCUCAGCUUCAACAUCACUGCCUAAGUCACCAAGUCUAACAGGAAAUGCCGUCUUUCUCAACACUCAACACAAAAUUGCUUUUACGUAUCUCCUAGGUAAUUGGUUGCUGCCUGUCUGUCCUUUCCAACCAGGCUGUGAGGGCCAGUACGUCAAACAGCCUGUCAGUCUUGCUCACCAAGUGUCCAGACCACUGAACACGCACCGACCAGAGGAAAGGAAGGACUUGUCCCAAAGUCAACUCUCCAGACUUUCUGUGCAAGGAGGGAACGAACGGAGCACCCUCCAGCCUCACGCUUUCUCUUCCAUGCUUUCAACUCCUCUGACAGGCCCUACUCCUCCCUUGCCCUGUCCCAACACUCUCCCGCACAGGUCCUCCUUUUCUUUUAGGCAUCUGCUCUCAGCUUCAACAUCACUGCCUAAGUCACCAAGUCUAACAGGAAAUGCCGUCUUUCUCCACACUCAACACAAAAUUGCUUUUACGUAUCUCCUAGGUAAUUGGUUGCUGCCUGUCUGUCCUUUCCAACCAGGCUGUGAGGGCCAGUACGUCAAACAGCCUGUCAGUCUU
ensembl:lncRNA